UGCCCCUUAUGUUCUGGGCUACACACGUGCUACAAUGGCCGGUACAGACGGACGCAAAGCCGCGAGGUGGAGCAAAUCCUAAAAAGCCGGUCUCAGUUCGGAUUGGCAGGCUGCAAUUCGCCUGCAUGAAGUCGGAAUCGCUAGUAAUCGCAGGUCAGCAUACUGCGGUGAAUACCGGUUCCCGGGCCUU
rnacentral:rRNA from 1 species